rnacentral:sRNA from 2 species
CUAGCCUUGCACACGCCAGAGACAGCUCCAGUUUAGGUCGCAUUGUCGUCCGUUGUCCAGGUUUUAUCCCAAAGUACGAAAGUGGUUACCCGUUGCCUCCCAGUUCGAGUGAUUGGAAGAGGAGUGGGAAUGGUUAACAUCAUCCAUCUCAGUCGAACAAUCAAGCAAAAUUGGAAAGGGGUUUUGAGCUGCGUCUCUGUGUACUUCGAAUCCGAGUCGGUGAUAGACCAGUUCUGUUUAAUCACUGGCAAGGGAUAUAGACACCUACCGGAAAGGAAUACUGACAAUCAUUUUUAGGCAAAGAAAGAAGUAAUGGGCGGAUAUGUAGAUGGAAUGGAAGCAGGUCUGCGAAUGUGCUGGACAUUUCGCUUCCACAAAUGCUAGCUCUCGAUAAAUAAGCCUUGAGAUGUGAUCAAUAUCGCAGCAGCUGGGGAUCCUCGUUUUAGGGGCUGAAGGAACAUAUA